rnacentral:rRNA from 1 species
CCUUAACCCCGGGAAGUGCAUUUGAAACUAAAGGGCUUGAGUAUGGGAGAGGGAAGUGGAAUUCCUGGUGUAGCGGUGAAAUGCGUAGAUAUCAGGAGGAACACCGGUGGCGAAGGCGACUUCCUGGACCAAUACUGACGCUAAGGCGCGAAGGCGUGGGUAGCAAACAGGAUUAGAUACCCUGGUAGUCCACGCAGUAAACGGUGAACACUAGGUGUAGCGGGUAUUGACCCCUGCUGUGCCGCAGCUAACGCAUUAAGUGUUCCGCCUGGGGAGUACGGUCGCAAGAUUAAAACUCAAAGGAAUUGACGGGGGCCCGCACAAGCGGUGGAGCAUGUGGUUUAAUUCGACGCAACGCGAAGAACCUUACCUGGAUUUGACAUCCCGGGAAGUCUUUUGAAAGAAAGAUGUGCCCUUCGGGGAACCCGGUGACAGGUGCUGCACGGCUGUCGUCAGCUCGUGUCGUGAGAUGUUGGGUUAAGUCCCGCAACGAGCGCAACCCCUAUCUUUAGUUACCAUCAUUUAGUUGGGGACUCUAAAGAUACUGCUCCGGUUAACGGGGAGGAAGGUGGGGAUGACGUCAAGUCCUCAUGGCCUUUAUGUCCAGGGCUACACACGUGCUACAAUGGGCUGUACAAAGGGUUGCGAACCCGCGAGGGUGAGCCAAUCCCAUAAAGCAGUUCUUAGUUCGGAUUGGAGUCUGCAACUCGACUCCAUGAAGCUGGAAUCGCUAGUAAUCGCGGAUCAGCAUGCCACGGUGAAUACGUUCCCGGGCCUUGUACACACCGCCCGUCACACCAUGAGAGUUGGUUGUACCAGAAGUUGUUGGACUAACCUGUAAAGGAAGUAGGCACCUAAGGUAUGGCUGAUGAUUGGGGUGAAGUCGUAACAAGGUAACC